UACCCCGCUGGGCCAGAACCAGCCUGCCGGGUCGGAACGCGAUACACCGCCGACCGGGGUUUUGCAGUCAUCCUCCCCUAACUAAAUGCAAGUGACUUCUACUUAUUGUGAUGCUACUACUAGUAGCUCCAGCCACAGUAGGUCUCAUGUUAGUCAAGACAUUGGGUUGUUAGCACCUCAACACCUGACCUGCUAUUUCACCACUUUUCAAUGAAAAGCAGAGUGUACUCAAAUUACAACAAAUUACACAGUACCAGGAUAUAUAACUUAAACAACCAUGGGGAAAUAAAUAGUCGACAGUCUGCAAGAAGGAUGAACUGUUGGUGGAAUUAGCAUAUGCAGCUAGGAAUUUUAAACCUGUAUUUCCACAUAUUACUGAUGCAAACAAAUUUCAAAAUUAUUGUAUAUAACUAUUGAAUAAAACUAUAAUAAAACUAUUUUUAUAAA